rnacentral:lncRNA from 1 species
ACAAAAGUAAAAAGGCUUUUGAAAUUAAAAAUAUAAAAAAAAAUGUUUGUAUGUACAUGAAAAUAAUAAUUACAAUAUUAAUAGUAAUAGUAAAUAAUAAUAAACAAGUAAUAAUACAGUAUAAUAACAACAAAUAAAAAAAUUUAAAUAGUGAAAUAGUUUAAAAAAAUGGAUUAAAUUGAACAAAAGACGAAAAACG